GUCGAACGAAGCACUUAAGUUUGAUUCUUCGGAUGAAGACUUUUGUGACUGAGAGGCGGACGGGUGAGUAACGCGUGGGUAACCUGCCUCAUACAGGGGGAUAACAGUUAGAAAUGACUGCUAAUACCGCAUAAGACCACAGCACCGCAUGGUGCAGGGGUAAAAACUCCGGUGGUAUGAGAUGGACCCGCGUCUGAUUAGCUGGUUGGUGGGGUAACGGCCUACCAAGGCGACGAUCAGUAGCCGACCUGAGAGGGUGACCGGCCACAUUGGGACUGAGACACGGCCCAAACUCCUACGGGAGGCAGCAGUGGGGAAUAUUGCACAAUGGGGGAAACCCUGAUGCAGCGACGCCGCGUGAAGGAUGAAGUAUUUCGGUAUGUAAACUUCUAUCAGCAGGGAAGAAAAUGACGGUACCUGACUAAGAAGCCCCGGCUAACUACGUGCCAGCAGCCGCGGUAAUACGUAGGGGGCAAGCGUUAUCCGGAUUUACUGGGUGUAAAGGGAGCGUAGACGGUAUGGCAAGUCUGAUGUGAAAGGCCAGGGCUCAACCCUGGGACUGCAUUGGAAACUGUCGAACUAGAGUGUCGGAGAGGCAAGUGGAAUUCCUAGUGUAGCGGUGAAAUGCGUAGAUAUUAGGAGGAACACCAGUGGCGAAGGCGGCUUGCUGGACGAUGACUGACGUUGAGGCUCGAAAGCGUGGGGAGCAAACAGGAUUAGAUACCCUGGUAGUCCACGCCGUAAACGAUGACUACUAGGUGUCGGGUAGCAGAGCUAUUCGGUGCCGCAGCCAACGCAAUAAGUAGUCCACCUGGGGAGUACGUUCGCAAGAAUGAAACUCAAGGAAUUGACGGGGACCCGCACAAGCGGUGGAGCAUGUGGUUUAAUUCG
rnacentral:rRNA from 1 species